rnacentral:rRNA from 1 species
AGGAUGAACGCUAGCUACAGGCUUAACACAUGCAAGUCGAGGGGCAUCAGGAAGAAAGCUUGCUUUCUUUGCUGGCGACCGGCGCACGGGUGAGUAACACGUAUCCAACCUGCCCUUUACUCGGGGAUAGCCUUUCGAAAGAAAGAUUAAUACCCGAUAGCAUAAUGAUUCCGCAUGGUUUCAUUAUUAAAGGAUUCCGGUAAAGGAUGGGGAUGCGUUCCAUUAGGUUGUUGGUGAGGUAACGGCCCACCAAGCCUUCGAUGGAUAGGGGUUCUGAGAGGAAGGUCCCCCACAUUGGAACUGAGACACGGUCCAAACUCCUACGGGAGGCAGCAGUGAGGAAUAUUGGUCAAUGGGCGCUAGCCUGAACCAGCCAAGUAGCGUGAAGGAUGAAGGCUCUAUGGGUCGUAAACUUCUUUUAUAUAAGAAUAAAGUGCAGUAUGUAUACUGUUUUGUAUGUAUUAUAUGAAUAAGGAUCGGCUAACUCCGUGCCAGCAGCCGCGGUAAUACGGAGGAUCCGAGCGUUAUCCGGAUUUAUUGGGUUUAAAGGGAGCGUAGGUGGACUGGUAAGUCAGUUGUGAAAGUUUGCGGCUCAACCGUAAAAUUGCAGUUGAUACUGUCAGUCUUGAGUACAGUAGAGGUGGGCGGAAUUCGUGGUGUAGCGGUGAAAUGCUUAGAUAUCACGAAGAACUCCGAUUGCGAAGGCAGCUCACUGGACUGCAACUGACACUGAUGCUCGAAAGUGUGGGUAUCAAACAGGAUUAGAUACCCUGGUAGUCCACACAGUAAACGAUGAAUACUCGCUGUUUGCGAUAUACAGUAAGCGGCCAAGCGAAAGCAUUAAGUAUUCCACCUGGGGAGUACGCCGGCAACGGUGAAACUCAAAGGAAUUGACGGGGGCCCGCACAAGCGGAGGAACAUGUGGUUUAAUUCGAUGAUACGCGAGGAACCUUACCCGGGCUUAAAUUGCAGUGGAAUGAUGUGGAAACAUGUCAGUGAGCAAUCACCGCUGUGAAGGUGCUGCAUGGUUGUCGUCAGCUCGUGCCGUGAGGUGUCGGCUUAAGUGCCAUAACGAGCGCAACCCUUACCUUUAGUUACUAACAGGUUAUGCUGAGGACUCUGGAGAGACUGCCGUCGUAAGAUGUGAGGACGGUGGGGAUGACGUCAAAUCAGCACGGCCCUUACGUCCGGGGCUACACACGUGUUACAAUGGGGGGUACAGAAGGCAGCUACCUGGCGACAGGAUGCUAAUCCCAAAAACCUCUCUCAGUUCGGAUCGAAGUCUGCAACCCGACUUCGUGAAGCUGGAUUCGCUAGUAAUCGCGCAUCAGCCAUGGCGCGGUGAAUACGUUCCCGGGCCUUGUACACACCGCCCGUCAAGCCAUGAAAGCCGGGGGUACCUGAAGUACGUAACCGCAAGGAGCGUCCUAGGGUAAAACUGGU